ACACAGCUCGCCAGGCGCGUCACAGCACCGCCGGCGCCUCGCCCGCGCCCGCCCACCACGCGCGCCAGCCGCUCGCGCUCGGCAACCGCUUCACCACGCUGCAGGACGACAGCUAGCCAGGUGCGUCACAGGACACAGCUAGCCAGGUGCGUCACAGGACACAGCUCGCCAGGCGCGUCACAGCACCGCCGGCGCCUCGCCCGCGCCCGCCCACCACGCGCGCCAGCCGCUCGCGCUCGGCAACCGCUUCACCACGCUGCAGGACGACAGCUAGCCAGGUAGCAAGAAUCAGCUCUGUGAAGCGCAGCAGUAAAGUGAAGUGUCAAAAUGGACUUGUAAGCAAAGCCUGGGCAUAGCAUAUACACCCACACAUUCUAUAUGUAAAGCAAAAUAGAACAAUACAGUGCAUUUCCUACGGUGUUGCCACUCUAGUAUCGAGACAGUUGCUCUACGACAUGGCAAUGUUCAACGUUAAACUUUUUAGUGCAAUAUCUAAAAGCCUGGCCACUUUUUUUAUUUUUAUAAAGUUUUUAAAUAUAAAAAAAGGUUCUAACACAAUUUGUAGACAAUAAUCAUUGCCUGAUUCGAGCAUUAAAAAAACAUUCAAACGCGUUAAAUCAUUAAAAAGCGUAAACAAAGCAACUGUCUUUUAGCAAAGUGUUAAAAUGAGAGUGAAAAAUCUACAUUUGUUAUUUUUUAUGUUUAUAUUGAAAACUUAUGGCAGUGUUUUGUAUGCGUGGUAAGGGACGUUUAGGAAAUUUCGACGAAAAUGCAACUUAUGAAUAUGCCGAAACCUUGAAUGUAAAAUAAAGCGUGGACAUCAAGAAAAUUUUAAUUAUUAAGAAUAAGAAAUCAUUAAAAAUAGAAAGGCGUUUAAAACUUUGGCUCCAUUACGGAUGAAAUGUUUGGUUACCUAAAAUUGUUUUUAAUAUUGCUGUAUGAAUCGGCAAAUCCUUCGGAACAUGUUGUACCAUAGUAAUAAAUUAUGUAUUUAAACUU